rnacentral:rRNA from 1 species
AUUGAACGCUGGCGGCAUGCCUUACACAUGCAAGUCGAACGGUAACGGGCCUUCGGGUGCCGACGAGUGGCGAACGGGUGAGUAAUACAUCGGAACGUGCCCGAUCGUGGGGGAUAACGAGGCGAAAGCUUUGCUAAUACCGCAUACGAUCUACGGAUGAAAGCAGGGGACCGCAAGGCCUUGCGCGGGCGGAGCGGCCGGUGGCCGAUUAGGUAGUUGGUGGGAUAAAAGCUUACCAAGCCGACGAUCUGUAGCUGGUCUGAGAGGAUGAUCAGCCACACUGGGACUGAGACACGGCCCAGACUCCUACGGGAGGCAGCAGUGGGGAAUUUUGGACAAUGGGCGCAAGCCUGAUCCAGCCAUGCCGCGUGCAGGAUGAAGGCCUUCGGGUUGUAAACUGCUUUUGUACGGAACGAAAAGCCUUCUUUUAAUACAGGAGGGUCAUGACGGUACCGUAAGAAUAAGCACCGGCUAACUACGUG